UACGUAGGGGCCAAGCGUUGUCCGGAUUUAUUGGGCGUAAAGAGCUCGUAGGCGGUUCGGCAAGUCAGCUGUGAAAUCUCCACGCUCAACGUGGAGGGGUCAGCUGAUACUGCUGUGACUUGAGUCCGGUAGGGGAGUGUGGAAUUCCUGGUGUAGCGGUGAAAUGCGCAGAUAUCAGGAGGAACACCGGUGGCGAAGGCGGCAUCCUGGACCGGCAUUGACGCUGAGGCGCGAAAGCCAGGGGAGCAAACGGG
rnacentral:rRNA from 1 species